rnacentral:rRNA from 1 species
AUUGAACGCUGGCGGCAUGCUUUACACAUGCAAGUCGAACGGUAACAGGGUGCUUGCACCGCUGACGAGUGGCGAACGGGUGAGUAAUGCGUCGGAACGUGCCGAGUAGUGGGGGAUAACGCAGCGAAAGUCGUGCUAAUACCGCAUACGUACUGAGGUAGAAAGUGGGGGACCUUCGGGCCUCACGCUAUUCGAGCGGCCGACGUCUGAUUAGCUAGUAGGUGAGGUAAAGGCUCACCUAGGCGACGAUCAGUAGCAGGUCUGAGAGGAUGGUCCGCCACACUGGGACUGAGACACGGCCCAGACUCCUACGGGAGGCAGCAGUGGGGAAUUUUGGACAAUGGGCGAAAGCCUGAUCCAGCCAUGCCGCGUGUCUGAAGAAGGCCUUCGGGUUGUAAGGACUUUUGUCAGGGAGGAAAUCCCUAGUGCUAAUAACACUGGGGGAUGACAGUACCUGAAGAAUAAGCACCGGCUAACUACGUGCCAGCCGCCGCCGUAA